rnacentral:lncRNA from 1 species
AUAUAAUCGUAGAGGAAGAUAGUUAAAUACUAAAAAUCCAAAUUUUGUCCCUUGAAUGAAUGAAAUGGAAUGACAUGAGAUGUUAUGUUAUGAGAGCAUAACAUUCCACAAGAUGUCCUAACACCAACAUUCAAAAUCAUAGCCAUUUAGAAAACUUCACACAGCAUUCACAAUAAUCAUCUAAACUUAAACAAAACUGACACAAGCUUAUAAUUUCACUAAUCCUAACUAACAAACCCUAACAGCUCUAUCAUCAGUGCCAGCCAAAAACACCAAUUGAACCACAAUGCUGGCCAUUUGAAUUCCUGCUACAGAAGCCAAACCAAAACCUUCUAAACAAUGCCUUGACUCAAGUCCAAAUCAACAUGAAAUAAGACCUAUUGCAUCUGGGCCAUUGGUGCAAGUCAGGACCUCACACACCCUACAAAACUAAGAUGCAAUGCAUGAGCCACAAAUCUGCAGAAAAAUCAUAAGUCAGAAAUGCAGCUACACCAGCCAGGAAAGUAUAAUUAACAGAAUUUAUUUCAAACUAAUAAUAAUAUUCUUUUCAAUGACAAUUUAGCAGCUCCAAUAAACAUUGUUAUUUUUACUCACAAAUCACAUGACAAAAUCAGUAUUUAGCCACAUGUCUAUCACAAAUUCCAGCCCACAAGUUUCAUCAGCAAAUUUAAAUUGCAAAAUCACACGCAUAGCAUGGCUCACAUUACACUGAUUUCAGUCAUAACAGCAAAACACCCAAGCCAAUUAACACUAAUUCAAUCUCCAACUCAAUAUAUUUUUCAGUUUGCAUCUAACUAAUUUUCAAAUCCAAUUCCUAAUCCACCCUCUCAUCACUCUAUUUAAACCACAAUUCUCUCCCUUAAAGUUGGCUCUCGAUUACCUCUCUUUUUUCAAUCUGCAUAUCCGGAUUUCACUCUCCAUCUCAAUUCAUUCAAUCCAUAAUCCCUCACAUUUCCUCUCUCGGAUUCAUUCAAUUUUUCAUCACAAUUCUCUCCCUUCGUCAUUAUAAGAACUCAUUAGAAGCAGCAGAGACGCAUCAAUAUCACAGAGAAAUAGAUUCUUCCCAACAACUCUCAACAAUUCACGUAGCAACUACUCAUCACUCACGCAAUUUAUCUCUACCUCGCAACGGUGAUUCGUCGCACACAAUAGCACAAAGGAAGAAGGGAAAGUCGAUACCGGUUAAAUCUGGUGAGUUUUCAGUUCACUUUCGAUUAUGUUUUUCUUCUGAUUACGUGAGAUAGCAAAGCGAUGUGAAUGGAGGAUGCGGAACCGCAGAGUUCCGCUGAAACAUAAUGAACGCGAGGCCGAGACGAACGUGUUACUGUUGGAGUUCGAUCGUUUCUUCAUGUUUGUGUCGAAGCACCUUAGCACGCGACAAUGAUGAUAGAGUGAAGAGCGAAUUACGCAUUCUAGUUUUUUCCAGGAGAAGUGCUUUUCUCCAUUACCGUUUCAACUCACAUGAGAAAACGUGAUGUCGCGCAUUGCAAGAUGAUUUGGAUAAGCACUUUUCUAGUCCAGAUGUUUCAGCUCACGCGAUGAAGAGAAUGGACUCGGUUAUUGCAACGCCUUUGCAAGUUUGGAUGUUUGGGCUAAAGCCUAAACGAACCAUUGCCUGCUCUUCACACAUGCCUCAAUGGGCCUGCACCUCCCUAAUGUUCUUUUAAUAAUUAUUUAUUUAUUUCCUUAGUGUUUUUAGGUGAUGAUUAGGAUCAUGUUAAUUAGGAGGUUAGAUUAAUUAGAACAUUAGAAUAAUAGUAUAUUGUUUUAGAAUAUUAGUUUUUCU